rnacentral:lncRNA from 10 species
AUAUUGACCAGCUGACUAGAAUCUUUGAUUUUUCCAGGGUCUUAUUAGUGCUUUGUUCCUUCAGGUGUGGUCCUUGGACCAGCAACAUCAGUAUCUAUAUCACCUGAGAGCUUGUUAAACAUUCAGAAAUUGGGAGCCCACGCAACAUCUACAGAAUCAGAAUCUACAUUUCUACAAGAUACUCUGGAAUUCAUACCUAAAUUUUGUGGUUUGAGAAGUCCUGUAGUGCAGGCUACAUCACCAGGACUUGAAGGACAGCAGCACAUCUUUGGUGAGUACCUACUGUGAGGUAAUCACUACCUCACACUUUGCUUCUCAUGAUAAGUUGCUGUCAUGUAUUACUACUUAUAAUGUUUUAAAUAUCCAUUUUUGUUUUAUUUUUUUCUACACUGGUCUCUAUCUAGAACAUUCAUAUUGUCUUUCACUUCUUCUAUACCUUUUAUUCUUUUGCUGCUAUUACUUUUAUUUAUCAUAUACUGGGAUGGGGUUGGGAUA